UUCCGGACCACAGAUUUUUCUU
rnacentral:siRNA from 1 species